UCGGCUAUGCGUUUUAAUUUUUGACUCUAUUUGUUGUGGUGCUAUGAGUUUUUAGUUUGUUUUUAUAUUGUUUUUUGUAAAAUAUUUUAAUUUUUUUCUAGUUUCUUAUGGUAUCAAAAAUUUGUUUUUUGAACUGGAUUAGUACCCAGGUAAUCAAAAUUUAAUAAUUCGGGAGUAAAGUUUUAUUUAAACCGAAAAAAUAUUGACUGACUUUAGAUUUUUCUUUGGAAUAUGUGAUUUGCUGGAGAGCCCUCUUUUUUGGUGAAUUUUGUUGGCACAUGUAUGAUUGUUUAGUUUUUAUUUUAUUUUGUAAUGCUUUAUUGUUUUGGCAUCAAAAACAGAUAUAUAUUUGGCUUAUGAAUUUAUGUUUCAUGUGUUACUAUUAUGAAUUUUUUUUGGAUUAGUUUUUUAUUUUUUUUUGAAAUUGGAAAAGAAGGUAAUUUUUUCUUAAUGUUUUAAUGAAUUUAAUGAAUAAGGUGGUACAAACCAUCCGUCGAUGGCCUAAAGGGGCGUAAGUUG
rnacentral:ncRNA from 1 species